CUCCCCCUCUGCGAUCCCGUUCUGGAAGUUUCCUGGAAGAGAUGAAGAUCAAUCAGAUCAAUAAACUGACUAACUACCAACAGUUGCCUCCAUCAGGAUCCAUCUGGCCUCCUGCCGCUGUUCGGCCCCUCUUCCAGCUCAGUGAAGGUUGUUUUUUGGUUCAAACUCAACAGAGCGAUAAUCCCUCAGAGGAUUUAUUUACCGGGAUUAUCGUGUUGGCAGCGAUGCUUCCAGGUACGGGUGCGACCGUAAUCCCAACAAAGAGCAUCGUCUGGGGUGUGUGUGUUUUAUUAUUUAUCACAGGGUAUAAUCUGUUGUUAUUGUGGGUAUUAUGGCUUUCGUUCAGUAUCCACAGACAUGUGUACGGCUGCUGCCUGAGAGCUGUCACACACGGAGACAAUGAAGACAAUAAAAACUGAAUCAGA